GAAGCUGAAGCUGUCCUCCAUAUUUGAGAAAAUGAGCACUCAGUGUUCAGUGUUGACUGUUACUACACAUGAUGCCAUGAUUUGGACUUGGAACUUCCGGUAUGUGAGUUCUUUGCCCUAGCUCUUAUCUAUCUCCUAGUUGAAAACUUAUUUUAAGAGACUCUUUUGAAAAUAUUAAGGUAAGGUAGGUACUUUUCCCUGUGAUAUUCGCACAUUGACAUCAAGAUGAAGAACAUAGGCAUGCAUUCUUAGAAUGAGAAGUUGCCACAAUUCUAGAACUUCCACUCAAAAUGAUUAAAUGUCUGCAGCACUGAUUUUCUUUGUUUUAUCAAAUGAGUGAGAAGCAUUUUGACUUUUAUUCUAAUUUUGUAGGUUGAGAAUGUAGAUCAUCUGAUCCUACAAGAAAUCAUAGAUGAAGAGGGACCAACACGGCCUCUGGCUCUGACGGAGUGUCCUGAAGGAGAGAGGAGAGCUUUCUUCUUCCAGAAGAGGAGGGCAAGCCUCUGAUGGAGGCACUCACGAUGAGGCACAGGGCAGAUCUGGUCAAGACAGAGUAAAAAUGCAGAAUGGAGGGGCAUCUGGCAAGCCAUUACCACUUUACUCCUUGGAUGUCUUCUCUCCGGAAUGAUGGAGCUCAAAUGAAUUUAUGGAUUGGAGACGCCUUCCAGAAGACUCCCUAAACAGUCUGUGCUUUCCUGGUCACCACUCAACACCUAUUCACAGACCGCAGAUAAAGAGGCGCUUCUGAAUUGCGGUCCUCACCUUCUUAUGGAGUUUGAGGGUGUGAUAUGUAGAAAACCCUCCCAAGCUUUGGCUCAGAAGACUCUUUGAUCAAGGUAGGUAGUUGCAGCAACUGUGUUCCCCACUGGACUGGGGGGUUGCCAUGUGUGUCUGUUUUGUGUUUUACCCUCAUUUCCUGGGGGUGGGGGUCUCCAGGGAGCAAUUCUAAGGAGAUCUAUGUUUAUUCAGUGAGUGAAAACAUGGACCAAAGAGUCAUCCACCAAAGUGAAUAUUAUCCUGAUAAUACCUCAGCUGU